rnacentral:rRNA from 1 species
UGGGGAAUCUUCCGCAAUGGACGAAAGUCUGACGGAGCAACGCCGCGUGAGUGAAGAAGGUUUUCGGAUCGUAAAGCUCUGUUGUUUGAGACGAAUGUGCCUGUUUCAAAUAGGGAUAGGUAAUGACGGUAUUAAACGAGAAAGCCACGGCUAACUACGUGCCAGCAGCCGCGGUAAUACGUAGGUGGCAAGCGUUGUCCGGAAUUAUUGGGCGUAAAGGGAGCGCAGGUGGGAAUGUAAGUCGGUCUUAAAAGUGCGGGGCUCAACCCCGUGAGGGGAUCGAAACUACAUUUCUUGAGUGCAGGAGAGGAAAGUGGAAUUCCUAGUGUAGCGGUGAAAUGCGUAGAUAUUAGGAGGAACACCAGUGGCGAAGGCGACUUUCUGGACUGUAACUGACACU